rnacentral:rRNA from 1 species
CCUACGGGAGGCAGCAGUCGAGAAUUAUUCACAAUGGGGGAAACCCUGAUGGUGCGACGCCGCGUGGGGGAAUGAAGGUCUUCGGAUUGUAAACCCCUGUUAUGUGGGAGCAAAUUAAAAAGAUAGUACCCCAAGAGGAAGAGACGGCUAACUCUGUGCCAGCAGCCGCGGUAAUACAGAGGUCUCAAGCGUUGUUCGGAACCACUGGGCGUAAAGCGUGCGGAGGCUGUGUCGUAAGUCGUGUGUGAAAGGCGCGGGCUCAACCCGCGGACGGCACAUGAUACUGCGAGACUAGAGUAAUGGAGGGGGAACCGGAAUUCUCGGUGUAGCAGUGAAAUGCGUAGAUAUCGAGAGGAACACUCGUGGCGAAGGCGGGUUCCUGGACAUUAACUGACGCUGAGGCACGAAGGCCAGGGGAGCGAAAGGGAUUAGAUACCCUGGUAGUC